rnacentral:lncRNA from 1 species
AGAAAUGAAAAGGGAGACAUAACAACAGAAACAGAGAAAAUUUAAAAAAUUAUCAGAUACUCUAACUACAAAAACCUAUACUCAAGAAAACUGAAAAAUCUGGAUGAAAUGAACAGUUUUCUAGCCAGAGACCAGGUACCAAAGUUAAAUCAGGAUCAGAUAAACCAUCUAAACAGUCUCAUAAUCCCUAAAGAAAUAGGAGUCAUUAAAACUCCCUCAAUCCACCAUCCCUGAACUCAAGUAAUAUUACAGAGCAGUAGUGAUAAAAACUGCAUGGUAUUGGUACAGAGAUAGACAGAUAGACCAGUGGAAUAGAAUUGAAGACCCAGAAAUGAACCCACGGACCUAUGGUCACUUGAUUUUUGACAAACGAGCCAAAACCAUCCAAUGGAAAAAAGAUAGCAUUUUCAACAAAUGGUGCUGGUUCAACUUGUGGUCAGCAUGUAGAAGACUGCAAAUUGAUCCAUUCUUAUCUCCUUUUACAAACCUCAAGUCCAAGUGGAUCAAAGACCUCCACAUAAAACCAGAUACACUCAAACUAAUAGAAGAGAAAGUGGGGAAGAGCCUGAACACACGGGCAAAGGAGAAAAUUUCCUGAACAGAACUCCAAUAGCUUAUGCUCUAAGAUUAACAAUCAACAAAUGGGACCUUAUAAAACUACAAAGCUUCUGUAC